rnacentral:rRNA from 1 species
AUUGAACGCUGGCGGCAGGCCUAACACAUGCAAGUCGAGCGGAUGAAGGUAGCUUGCUACCUGAUUCAGCGGCGGACGGGUGAGUAAUGCCUAGGAAUCUGCCUGGUAGUGGGGGACAACGUUUCGAAAGGAACGCUAAUACCGCAUACGUCCUACGGGAGAAAGUGGGGGAUCUUCGGACCUCACGCUAUCAGAUGAGCCUAGGUACGAUUAGCUAGUUGGUGAGGUAAAGGCUCACCAAGGCGACGAUCGUUAACUGGUCUGAGAGGAUGAUCAGUCACACUGGAACUGAGACACGGUCCAGACUCCUACGGGAGGCAGCAGUGGGGAAUAUUGGACAAUGGGCGAAAGCCUGAUCCAGCCAUGCCGCGUGUGUGAAGAAGGUCUUCGGAUUGUAAAGCACUUUAAGUUGGGAGGAAGGGCAGUAAGAUAAUACCUUGCUGUUUUGACGUUACCGACAGAAUAAGCACCGGCUAACUUCGUGCCAGCCGCCGCCGUAACAC